UCACACGCUACCACUCAACGCUCCCUGCAACACUGGAGUGAGUCGAUCGCGCGUCCCGAGGACGCGCAUCGUGCAUCCUUUUCUAGCCAAUCCAGUGCCGCUUAGUGGUAACGGAGCGCGCGUCGCGGAGAAAUGGCGCCGCCUCGCUGGCAUCACGACCGCCGGCGCAUGGCGAUAUUCGUCCGUGUCGGUCUUUACACACUUCUCUUCCUUAUGGGCUACGUUGUCCCGCUUAUCAUUUUUUAUAAUCGCUCGCGCGCAGACACCUUCGAGGAUACCCCUCGUUCCGGUGAGGCGUUUAUUAGUGACGAGAAUUUUUUUCACUGCAUCGCCGAGCGUCUCUCAUAUAAGGAACAACACCCAGCUCGAAUCCCGUACGUGCUGAUACCGGUAACGAUGGAUUAUCAGGACAUCAAGCAACUCUUCUGCAAUAUUACAGUCCCCAUGACGUACAUCAUGUUUAUCAACAACGGCAUGUUCCGCCCACUACGCUCGCUUCUCGACCGCCUUGCCGUAGAUCUGAGGGACUACGUCGACCAGAAUCUCUUUAUCAUUCACCACCCCGAGAACAUCGGCUACGCGUCUGCCGUGAACGAGGGCCUGCGUCACGCCCUCAACUUUUCCGUUGCCAAAGUGCCUUGGGUCUUCAUCACCAAUGCCGACGUGCGCUUUGCGCCGGGGCUCAUCGACGAGUUUGUCUCGCAGGCAAACGAAAAGACACAAGGCCAGCUGGAGCGCAUUCGCCGCCUAGACCAAGAGAUCAUUGCCGAAGCCAGGACGCUGCGAAACGUGCCAAAUCGGCGGUUUGCCUUCCGCAGCAGCCAGCACCCCAUCAUUACGGCAUCCUCGCUGCCAUAUCGUAUUCGGACCAUGCCCCCAGAGGAGAUGAAGAAGCAGUUUGCCGACACGUACGGCAUCUUUUACACAGACCACAAGGAUUUCAUGGCCACAUUUGCGCUGUCCCGCCUCGCCAUUGCGACUGUAGGGUUUUUUGACGAGAACUACUACCCCGCCUACGGCGAAGAUCAUGACUACGUGUGGCGCAUGGCUGCUUUGGGCUACCAAAAGUACUUCUCCGAGCCUGGCAAGUUUGUGCACUUUGAAAACGCGAACCUCAACGUCGGUGGGUCGGCCAGGAACCGGGGAAUCUUCAAGAACACUGCCUACUUUCUCCAGAGCGUCAAGUUUGGGCGUAUGAACUAUCAACCAUUUCGCCUCCAAUAUCGCCGUGCCAAGUGGUUUCCUGAUGGGGUCACAAUCUAUCAAGAUACCGGGCGCAAUCCACUGCCGUUUAACGGAACUAUUCCUCUCGACAUGUGGGUACUCGACACUGACAGGCGGAGGUCCAUAUGGGAAAUCGGUGAAAACAUUCGCUGCCACCGCGACUACAAGCCGUACAGCAUGAAGCUACUGGACUUUCCUGUUGACCCCAGCUAAGGGUUCUGGUCGGGAUUGAUGCGCGGCACACGCUUUCGUUGGCCUUCGCGAUGCGCGCAUUUCUGCAGAUGGACACCCUAGCACUGGUACCGGUUUGCGCCAGUCUGAUCGAAAUUAAUGCGCUCAGUCUGUUGCAGCGGCGCGUGGAAGGCGUUCCGCAGAGGUAUACGGAAAGCUUCUUCGCUGGCGGCCGCUCUCGCCUACCGGAAUAAGGACGAUCCACCACCGAAUCAAAAAGCCGCGCAUACGACGGUGAUGAACUCUUGACGGCUGCCGUUCGGUUUCUUGGUUUCCUUGUUUUUUCGAAGUCUUGCACCCACCCACCCCCUCUUUGCCUAAGCUGCAGUAUGGGGCCACCGUGCUGUGCAAGAAUGCAAGCGCCGUUUGCCGAAUGAUGCUUGGGCACCUUCACGGCAGCGCAGCCGCAUUCAUCGUCUAUACACCGCAAGUGCGAAGAAGAGCGGCCACACACUCAAAGAGGCCGCUGCGCAGUUCCUCGACUAAGUUGUGCUGCUGCGCCCCACAGGCCAGUGUUUGUCGGCGGUGCUGCGAGAGGGGGGGGUACCCUGCGCAUUUGGCGCAGGACGUGCGCACGCCGGAUGGCGGCUUCGUCACAGCGUCUCGGCGGCUUGCGCGUCGGCAUGCGGGCAUGGACCCUAUCGGGGAUAAGCCCGCACACAGAUCCCUCACACGCAGCGGUCACAUGUACGUCAGCCGGUCCUCUAACGGAUGCAGGCCGGGGUGGGCGUGGGUGGGUGGGGGCAGACUCUCCAGAAAAGAGGAACACUUGCGUCAUGCAAACAGACGCUCUCCCGCUUUGCGACGCUUCCUCACUGGCUGUCGGCGGAUGGUGCUGGACUGCGACCCAUCAACACAGGAGCGGACGCGAUGCUCGACGACAGCAAUGCACGCACCGGCAUAGCGAAAACAGAAUGUGGCCGCUUCAUCGUGGCAGCUAUGGCGCUGAGAGCGAACGAACUGAGCUGCUACUCGAGCUGCUGGCAGUGCAGCUUGCAUCAACUGCAACACAGAGAAACAGGUGUGGCUGCUGUCACGGAGUCGCUCUGCGUUCCUCAUCGCACUGCGCAAGGGCCGUACAAGCGUGGAGAAGUGCACAGUGCUACAUAUUUGAGCACAAAUGUUGACGCUACUGGCCUGCUGUCUGCGCAUAUUGUUCCAGCUUGCUCACGUGCUGCCGUUCACCAUGGUCACACAAGGACACCGUGAACCUGUUUGCUACAACGGCAAUGUCCCCCCAGUCCCCCGCAUACUGCAUGGAUUCUAGCCCUCCAAGCUGACGCGGCAGGCCGCCAUGCCCCGCGACCACGAUGCACGAUGCACGAUGCGACGAGCUAAGACCUGAGCUCCUAGGAGACCGUCGUGUCACACCACGAAAAGGAGGCUGCUGGGUUCCCGAGGCGAUGAGACAACGUGUUUACUCAGUCCUCGACGGACAUCUGCGCGUCUUCUGGAUUCCUGCAGCGGCGCGUGAGUUGCAGUGAACAGGUGAAGUGCAGAUGGUGCGCUAUCUACACAUCCGCUGGAACUUUGCCUCCCCUCCCUUAAUGCCUCUGCCCGAGCCUGAACCCACGCCUAG
rnacentral:misc_RNA from 1 species